rnacentral:rRNA from 1 species
GACGAACGCUGGCGGCGUGCUUAACACAUGCAAGUGGAGCGACGAACCAGGCUUCGGCCUGGGGCAGAGCCGCGAACGGGUGAGUAACACGUGGGUAACGUGCCCCGAUGACUGGGACAACCCGGGGAAACCCGGGCUAAUACCGGAUAUGCCCCCUCACGCGAGUGAGGUGUGUAAAGGAAGCUUCGGCCUCCGCAUCGGGAUCGGCCCGCGGCCCAUUAGCUUGUUGGUGAGGUAACGGCUCACCAAGGCUUCGAUGGGUAGCUGGUCUGAGAGGACGAUCAGCCACACUGGGACUGAGACACGGCCCAGACUCCUACGGGAGGCAGCAGUGGGGAAUCUUGCGCAAUGCGCGAAAGCGUGACGCAGCAACGCCGCGUGGGGAAGAAGGCCUGGU